GAGCAUAAAGGGGUUUGAUCGCCGCACUCUUUCUACCUGAUUUUCCGUCCUGGCAGAACGUGGGAUAGAGAAGACUGUGAAUAGAUUUUUGUGUUACGUGUAUGUGUAAUGGAGUUUACAAUUUAUUCUCAAGCGUACACAGAGCCUGACAUACAUACUUUAUUUACUCGUAAGCCAACAGGAAGAACGUACAUACUCAACGUCCUGGCAUAAUGUUUGAGACUCGUUUGGAUUGCAUAUUCAUCAUAAUAAAUAAAAAACAUUAGUUGAUGUGCAUGAAAACCGAAAAUUUUGAAACGUUCAAGAUGAUUCCGGCAGGUUAUUGCAGCACCUUUUUUUUGACCAAGCUUUCAUAGGAAAUACGUUGCGUAGUUUUUCCAAUCGUACAGCGGGUAACAACCGUUAAUUGUAACACUCAGGAAACAUGAGGUUACUAAUGUCAUGCGAAGUCAUGUAACCGUAAUAACUAUCAAAAGAUACUAAGGCGCAAGCUAUGAAAUAAAAAACAAAAUGUAUCGAAAUAGAAUGGAUGUGGACCAUAAAAUAGUAGAUUUGUUACGCCAAAGAGAAAUACAUGAGUCAGCUGCAUAUGUAUUAUCACAAAAAUGGCAUGUGACGGAUAGUCUUAUAAACCGUUUAGGUUUAGAAAAGGAACUGAACGGUCAUAGUGGUUGCGUCAACUGUUUGGAGUGGAACGAAACGGGAGAGAUUUUGGCAUCUGCUUCCGAUGAUAUCCGAAUAAUAUUAUGGGAUCCAUUUCGUUAUAAAAAGAAGUUGAUUCUACACACAGGACAUAAUGGAAACAUCUUCUCCGUUAAAUUUAUGCCAAAAUCGAAUGACAGUAUACUGGUGUCAGGUGCAGGGGAUAACAGGAUACGGGUCCAUAAUAUACCACUUGCCGAUACAACACUUACAUGCAGCUGCCAUACUGGCCGAGUGAAGAGAAUUGCAACCGCAGCUAGUGUACCUUUUCUGUUCUGGAGUGCAGCAGAAGAUGGCUUGGUGUUACAGUAUGAUAUACGUGUACCACAUUCUUGUGCCUCGUUUGAUCAUAAAGGCGUUCUUAUAAAUCUCGUCAAUCACUUGGGGCCAUUUGCGGAAGCAAAAUGCAUCUCCAUAAAUCCCAGAAGGCCAGAAUUAAUUGCGAUUGGAGCAAACGAUGCAUAUAUUCGAAUGUAUGAUCGCAGAAUGAUUAAACUUGCCCCUUUAAAAGUUCCGGUAGCAACCUCACAUCCUGCAGAAGGAGAUCCGGACAAUAAUGUUCCUUUAGGAUGCGUGCAGUACUUUAUUGCAGGUCACUUACAUUCAAGACGUGAUCAUGCAAGAACUUUAGCUGCAACGUAUCUUACAUUUAAUGCCAAUGGAAAUGAAUUACUUGUUAACAUGGGUGGUGAACAGAUUUAUUUGUUUGAUAUCAACAAGCAAAACGAUUCCAAAAUAUUUGACACUUACCUGCCAAGAAAAGGCUCAGAAUCAAUCAAAAAGGAUCAGGAUCUAGACAGGUGUACAGAAGAAAGGAAUUUGGAAGAUCCACCCAGAUUUACCAUGACAAACACGAAAAAUUUGCCUGGUUACGUAGAGAGCCUAAAGCUAGAGGCUAAUAGAGAAUUCGAUCGGCAAAAAUAUACUCUGGCAAUUAAUUUAUAUAAUCAAGCACUCUCUUACUGCCCCACAGCUGCAGUACUUUUUGCUAACAGAGCUGCUGCUCUUAUGAAAAGAGGAUGGGAUGGAGAUGUAUAUGCUGCAUUGCGUGAUUGUCAAAUGACUCUAUUACUCGACCCAGAACAUGUUAAAGCACAUUUCAGGUUGGCUCGUUGUCUUUACGACUUACAUCGUGCCUCUGACGCAUAUAAAGUCAUUGAAAGUUUUCAAGAAAAGUUUCCCGAAUAUGUAUCUAACUCAGUCUGUAGAGCCUUAAGAAAAGAUAUUAAAGAAGCCUUGAAUUCUGGGAAAGAUGUAUCACAAGGAAAUCAGUUUUCCCUACACAUCUCAUCUAAUGAACGAGAAUGGAGACGAAAUACGUCUGAUUACAAAAUGAGGUUUUGUGGACAUUGUAACACUACUACAGAUAUAAAGGAAGCCAACUUUUUUGGAAACAAUGGCCAGUAUAUAGUCGCGGGUUCCGAUGAUGGAUCAUUUUUCAUUUGGGAUCGGAAGACAACAAAUAUCGUUAGAGUACUACAUGGAGACGAGAGUAUAGUGAACUGUCUUCAACCACAUCCUUCAACAUGUUUAUUAGCUACCAGUGGAAUCGAAUCCGUUAUUCGAUUGUGGAGUCCCCGUCCAGAGGAUGGCAGCGUAAAUGAUCGAGAAAUACAAAACUUAGACGAUGCCGCAACAGCAAAUCAAUUACGUAUGAAUAGUGAUCCUUUCGAAUUAAUGUUAAUCAAUAUGGGAUAUCGAUUUUCUGGACAUCCUACUGGUCUAGACGAGGAAGGUGUAGCAGAGCAUCAAGGAUCCGUUGCACAGGCCAAUUGUAGACCAAGCUAAGCAUUGUUGUUAAAGUAAAACCUUCUACGUCGAAUUCAGGCGGAGCUUCUACCUUUAAUGACAUUUUUCGUGUGCGGCAAGAAGAGAUGUGAUUUCUUUAUGAAGGAUGUACAAUUUUUGCAUAGGAUCUAUUCGAAAACCCAAAAUAAG